GUUCACUUCAUGUCGUCUAGUCCCUCAUUCACGUCAUUACACAUUCAAGACUGUCGAGGACAAUAAUCUCUCCAGAGAAGCAGUCAGACUUAGUAAGAGAAGAUGACUCAAAUGAGAUAUACCAUUCAAGGAUUGGUAAUACCAUUUGUGCUGGUAUUCUACUUACUUUCUCCUACCUUCUAUGGCUCAACCUUUUGUUUUGUUCAUCGGACCUUACCAGGAAGUCAACGGUCUAGUGGUGGAAUCCGUUGAAACGCUUCAUUCAGAAACGAAGGAAUUAGCUUUAUUUGAAUGUCGUGCGUCCAGCAGAACCCCUUUGUGGCGAAUAGAAUGAAAAGAUCCACGUCCAAUGUGAUUCUCAAGACGUUGCCGUAGUUGGAGCAAUGUAGGCGUGGAUUUCUGUCGCCCACGAUAGGUCAACAACAACUGGUAUCAAAUGGACACGUCUGAAUAAACUUGCUAUUCGUAUACCCUUCUCGGGAUUCAUUUGUGCGCUAGCUGCACUCGACGAGUAGCCUACCGACCUUUUGGAAACGUGUGAGUAACUUCAUGAUUCUAUACAAUAGCUACCCACGUGUUUCUUCUCCCGUUCCGACAGAUACUACAGGACAAUUGCAUCCCGUCAAGUUGUCUGCAACUAUUUUCAAGAUGACAGUACUAUUGCUCUUUCGUAGAAUGUUUCAAUGGAGUGGGAGUUACUUGAGCUUGGUGUCAGGUGUCGGAGGAAUCUUCUGAUUGCUUCUGAUUUUUUCACACCAUUGUCAGGUGUUUGUUGGGUUGGCGUGUUCUGUAAAGUUUUGAUGUAUGCAUUCGCCAAAUUCAAGAUCGCUGUUUACAGUGAAACCAAUAUAAACCGACAGAAUUGUGCGUCUCCAGGCGAUCGCGACUUAAGGAGCAAUACUGGGUUUGGUUAUUAUAAACUUGUCGCCAUCCUAAGAAAUCAAUUAUAAGAAAUCAAUUAUUGUACCCGAUAUAUAAACAAUAUCUAAACAAAAAAUGUUAAAUUGAAAAAGUUCAACUGGAUUAAAAUAGUGAAGCGAAUUUCAUUAAUAAAUAUUCGUGAUUUUGUUAUUAUUAAAUGUUUUAUUUGGGAUAUUGUUUAUCUUUUCCUUAGUACGAUUAUCAAGCGAUUCGAGUUUAAACUUUCUCCCUUUAACCGACGAAUAAUCGACAUGUCAUAUUGGUUAGGUAAAGUUGUGAAACAAUGUUAAUAGUUUAUAUGAUUACUCAGUUACCAUCCAAUUAAUUUUUUCACAUCUAGGGCUGUUAGAUACUAGUGAAGAUUUAUGUUAACUUACGGUGAAUGGACGAUAUUCGAUAUCGAUAUCGAAUAGACUGGAUCCAGUCUCUUACUACAGGAUUUUCUUACAGGUGAAAUGCACUUUGAUUAGCAAAUUAGGUAACGUGUUCUAUUAUUCAUAUCUAGUGCUGUUUUGUGUAUUGGUCAAUAGUCAUUAUAUCUAAUCGAUGUGCCUUAAUUAUCCUUUAAACGAAUUCAAGAGAUAUUCCACUCUCGUCCACUCUUGAACCUUCCGCGAACACAACGAUGCCGCUAAUUAACUUUCUCUAACUAGGAUGUGUGGCAACUGGAAAACUACAGCGAAAAUUUCAAGAAAUUAAUAGUCUACUGUCAGCUGAAAGACGGGGAAAGGUAUCCAGAAGUUCAUCAUUCAUGACAAGAGGCAGAUCUAUUAAAAGAAAAUCAAAUUUUCUGUACAAGAACUUUAGUGAACAUACGCAACUUUAUACAGCUCAUCAAUUGCCGUUUCGUCGAAAGUAAUUAAUAGAAUGAACAAAAGGGUGUCAUUAUUGCUUCGUAGGAUUUCAGGUAAAGGUGAUGUAGACUAGCAUGACAUUUAAUUAUCCUUUCUUGUUUACUUACAAUAAGAGCAAAAAGCUAUGGGAUGGAUUAUAAUCUGGGAGCAAUUUUUGUUGUAAUAAGCGUGCAGGUUGCAAGUGCAGGUUACAAGUUCCUUAUCAUUGUGUAAUUCCAUUGGUAAACAUAAAACAAUUAAUUCAAGUAUUUAAUCGUUACUGUAUUUUGAGUUAGCUAUAAAUAAUGUUAUCGCGUAGAAAAAUGUAUCGGCUCAAUGGUCUAGGGGUAUGAUUCUCGCUUUGGGUGCGAGAGGUCCCGGGUUCAAAUCCCGGUUGAGCCCAAAUCUAUUUUUACUUGUUUAUUUUUUAAAUUCCUGCUCAUACGUUCGAAGUCAUUAUACGAAACUACAGCUAAUUCAUAUAAUCGUUUUUGACAGUAAGGGUAAGAUCAGUGAUGCUUAGAAAAAGCCAGAUAAAAUUAUUUAAAACUUAGACAAGAGUUUUUACUUUGUUGCAUGUUUGUCUUGAUUGAUGCUUCCAGUUAAAUGAACUAGCGAAUUUAAAAAUUCAAAUGUUUUAUCCGUUUAGUUAUUCGUCAAUGCGAUUAUGCUAAGCCUUUGUAAAAUUGCAUCUUAAGUUCUUAACCGGUCUUAAAAAUAAUAAUAAUAACACAAAUAAAAAAGUAGGUCAACGGCAAGUGGCCCUUUUUUGAAGUGGGUUUUCUUUCCGUUUAGAAAGCGCAAGCCGUUUGGAUAGUCCCAUAAGCUCGUGUAUAAAAACAAUUAGAAUAAUUAACAUUAUUGAUGAAUCAUGAAUUCUUAUAAUAUACAUAAUGUUUCCAAAUGCCGAGUGUUUCGCCCCGUUAUUUUGUUUUGUCCUUGUCUUUUCGCUCGAAUCAGUCUGUAAUUUACUGGUUUGUUUAAAGUUGAACGAAAAUGGAAUUUAUCUUGUUCUCUAUCGCUGUUAGGUCGUCUCCAAUGUAAAUUUCCCCCCUUUAUUGUGUCUUUAAUUUAAGUUUGGUUCGUGCAACGGUUGAAGAAAUUCAAUUAUUUAACCAUUGCUCACAUUGUUUAUACCUUAACUUUCAUCCAAACAUUCAUCGGCUCGAUGGUCUAGGGGUAUGAUUCUCGCUUAGGGUGCGAGAGGUCCCGGGUUCAAAUCCCGGUCGAGCCCACUGAUGUUUUUAUCUUUUACUUGCUACAAUAUUCAAUGUAAUUCAUUCUCAUGUCAGUCAUAUUUGUUUAGGAUCAGUACAGCUAUUUUCAUCAAGGAAGAGCUACACUAAUGGUAAGCGCGUAGUAUCACGGCCAAAGGAUCUCUUUUUUCGUAACGUGCACCGUUUAUCAGUCGAUUCUUAAGACAAUCCGCUGAUUUUUCGUUAUUAGUUAUUUUUAUGUUGAAUCGAUGAUUUAGGAACUGGUAACAUACAAGGAUCCUGAAAAGCAUUUAAUUGAACGCAUAAUUAUGUCGCUUACGUUGGUAUUCCACAUCAAACUCGCUCUACACUCAACAAGUGGUGACUUUUCGUUCCUUUUUUUGUUCUUCUACUUAGGUUAAUAAGAAACAUUAAAUUAGGGUCUAACGAUUAACUACAACCAUUUUCAAAACGUUUUUACGGAAUUUUCAAUCAUUUUACAUGAUACGCUUGGAGAACCGUGGAGAACUUAAAGUGCCUUGACAAAAUAAGCAGCGCCAUAGCUUGUUGCACAUGUUCCAUCUUUAAUUUCUUUACAUAUACUUUACUUUGUUCGACUUUGUUACUUCUCUUCUUGUGAUGAGAAAUUCAGGUCAUUUAUAAAGAAAAUUAUGGAAUAAGAACAUUGGCAUCAUUUAAAUUUUAAAGUGAAAGUUGCCUGUCAGCACUUGUGUAUCAGUGGGAAAUACA